AAUUAAUAGUUCUAAUAUUGAUUUCAAAAGAUGGGGCGUGGAAAAGAUCUUACAGAGUAUGAGAGGAACCAGAUUAUAAAAGAAAUAGGUAAAGGCAAGUCUGCACAUGAAGUGGCCAAGGAACUAGGUCGUCAUGUGAAAACAAUUCGCAGAUAUUUACAAAAUCGAGUAUUGGAAUGAGCGCAGUCAUAAAGGCAAGUCCCGAACAGUUACAGCGCGAGACAUUUCCCAUCUGAAGCGAUGCUUACUUAAAAAUUCCCGGAUGUACUAGUAAAGCUUUAUUUGCAGAUGCUGGCAUUGAAAAUGUCUCCAAAACAGCCAGAAAUAAAAUAAUUGGUAGCUUUGUGACA